GUGCUCACUCUGUCAGCACAUACACUAAAAUUGGAAUAAUACAGAGAAGAUCAGCAUAGCCGUUGCCCAAGAAUGACAGAUUCGUGAAGAGUUCCAUAUUAAA